rnacentral:rRNA from 1 species
GACGAACGCUGGCGGCGUGCUUAACACAUGCAAGUCGAACGGAAAGGCUCCUUCGGGGGUACUCGAGUGGCGAACGGGUGAGUAACACGUGGGUGAUCUGCCCUGCACUCUGGGAUAAGCCUGGGAAACUGGGUCUAAUACCGGAUAGGACCAUGGCAUGCAUGUGCUGUGGUGGAAAGUUUUAUGCGGUGUGGGAUGGGCCCGCGGCCUAUCAGCUUGUUGGUGGGGUGAUGGCCUACCAAGGCUGCGACGGGUAGCCGGCCUGGGAGGGUGUCCGGCCACACUGGGACUGAGAUACGGCCUAGACUCCUACGGGAGGCAGCAGUGGGGAAUAUUGCACAAUGGGCGCAAGCCUGAUGCAGCGACGCCGCGUGGGGGAUGACGGCCUUCGGGUUGUAAACCUCUUUCACCAUCGACGAAGCCUUUCGGGGUGACGGUAGGUGGAGAAGAAGCACCGGCCAACUACGUGCCAGCCGCCGCCGUAA